UUAAAGGUGUUUAAAGGUGUUAGC
rnacentral:siRNA from 1 species